AUUGAACGCUGGCGGCAGGCCUAACACAUGCAAGUCGAGCGGAGCGGCGGACGGGUGAGUAAUGCCUAGGAAUCUGCCUGGUAGUGGGGGAUAACGUCCGGAAACGGGCGCUAAUAUCGCAUACUAUCAGAUGAGCCUAGGUCGGAUUAGCUGUUGGGGGGGGAAAGGGCCUACCAAGGCCACGAUCCGUAACUGGUCUGAGUGGAUGAUCAGUCAAACUGAAACUGAGACAGGGUCAAGACUCUACCGGAGGGCAGAGGUGGGAAAUAUUGGAAAAUGGGCGAAGGCCGGUUCCAGCAAUGCGGGGUGUGGGAAGAGGGUCUUCGGAUUGUAAAUAACUUUAAGGUGGGGGGGGUUACCAACAGAAUAAGCACCGGCUAACUUGUUGCAAGCAGCCGCGGUAUUC
rnacentral:rRNA from 1 species